rnacentral:rRNA from 1 species
AUUGAACGCUGGCGGCAUGCCUUACACAUGCAAGUCGAACGGUAACGGGCCUUCGGGUGCCGACGAGUGGCGAACGGGUGAGUAAUACAUCGGAACGUGCCCGAUCGUGGGGGAAAACGAGGCGAAAGCUUUGCUAAUACCGCAUACGAUCUACGGAUGACAGCAGGGGACCGCAAGGCCACGCGCGGGCGGAGCCGACGAUGGCAGAUUAGGUAGUUGGUGGGAUAAAAGCUUACCAAGCCGACGAUCUGUAGCUGGUCUGAGAGGAUGAUCAGCCACACUGGGACUGAGACACGGCCCAGACUCCUACGGGAGGCAGCAGUGGGGAAUUUUGGACAAUGGGCGCAAGCCUGAUCCAGCCAUGCCGCGUGCAGGAUGAAGGCCUUCGGGUUGUAAACUGCUUUUGUACGGAACGAAAAGCCUUCUUUUAAUACAGGAGGGUCAUGACGGUACCGUAAGAAUAAGCACCGGCUAACUACGUG